CUACACAUGCAAGUCGAGGGGUAGUUACUUUCGGGUAAUGAGACCGGCGCACGGGUGCGUAACGCGUAUGCAAUCUACCUUUUACAGGGGAAUAGCCCAGAGAAAUUUGGAUUAAUGCCCCAUAAUAUAUGUUUUUCGCAUGUUAGACAUAUUAAAGUUCCAACGGUAAAAGAUGAGCAUGCGUCCCAUUAGUUAGUUGGUAAGGUAACGGCUUACCAAGACGAUGAUGGGUAGGGGUCCUGAGAGGGAGAUCCCCCACACUGGUACUGAGACACGGACCAGACUCCUACGGGAGGCAGCAGUGAGGAAUAUUGGACAAUGGGCGCAAGCCUGAUCCAGCCAUGCCGCGUGCAGGAAGACGGUCCUAUGGAUUGUAAACUGCUUUUGUACGGGAAGAAACACUCCUACGUGUAGGAGCUUGACGGUACCGUAAGAAUAAGGAUCGGCUAACUCCGUGCCAGCAGCCGCGGUAAUACGGAGGAUCCAAGCGUUAUCCGGAAUCAUUGGGUUUAAAGGGUCCGUAGGCGGUUUAGUAAGUCAGUGGUGAAAGCCCAUCGCUCAACGAUGGAACGGCCAUUGAUACUGCUAGACUUGAAUUACAAGGAAGUAACUAGAAUAUGUAGUGUAGCGGUGAAAUGCUUAGAUAUUACAUGGAAUACCAAUUGCGAAGGCAGGUUACUACUUGUGGAUUGACGCUGAUGGACGAAAGCGUGGGGAGCGAACAGGAUUAGAUACCCUG
rnacentral:rRNA from 1 species